rnacentral:lncRNA from 1 species
AGGGAUUUAAAUUGCGGUCGCGGUCGCGUUUUCGGUCGCGUCGCGUUUGUCGCGGUCGCGGACAUAACGGACGCUAUUGCGGUCACUGCGGGUAUCGCGACCGUGAAUUUUUUUCAAAUUCGCACAACUUAUUGUAAAACAUAGUAAUUAUAAUUAUAAUUAUAAAAAUUCACUUUUAAUGAUUUUUAGAGUGUUUUCUAGCACUUAUGAAUCUUUAUUAAUAUGAUAUGAGAACACAACUUUAUAUAUAAAGUCCAUGUCAUAUUAAAAAUUGUGUCCGAAAUUUAUAUAUAUAUUUUUAAAUUUAAUAAAGAAAUUUUCAAAUAAUUAUUUUAAGACAAUUUUUAACAAUGGACAGGUGGAUAAAAGCACAAUUUACAUGCCUAUUUUCUAGUGGUUAAAAUGGACGGUGGUUGCCCCUAAUUAAUGAGUAAAACAAGAGUCAAAGAAGAAGCAAAAUAGAGCAACAUGCCAAUUGCCAAUAAAGCCACAAACCAAAACAAAAACAGAAAAAUUAAAAGAAAAUGGAACGAUUCUUUCUAUUCCCUAACCCUAACCAGUGGCCUCCAAGGCUCCAAGCCUCCAACUCAUCAGACUAUCAACAAAAAUGGUCCAAUCUCUACUGCUGUUGAAACUUGAAAGUGUGAAAAACCAGGUAAAGGAAUACUGGCUUAGAACUUAGAAGGGCUGAGAAAGAACUGGAAGAAACCUAGAAGUACUUCGAAGAGGAAAUAGAUGGGUUUGCUUUUCAGAUUCAAGUCCUCGGCAGUCGGCUCGGCUCCUUGCUUUCAUCUGCUGCUUGUUGUUUGCCCAUAUAUAAGAAAC